rnacentral:rRNA from 1 species
UGUAAGCGUAUACCAAAGUUGUUGCAGUUAAAACGCUCGUAGUCGGAAUUUGGCAGUUCCGGAUGUGUGCACGUCGUGUGCGCACUUCGCGGGGAUUGCUUUUGUGGUCUUGCGUAGGAUGAGGCACUUUUAUUAGUGAACGUCCUCACGCAACCACUUUUUACUGUGAGAAAAUCAGAGUGCUCAAAGCAGGCAUUUGCCGUGAAUGUAUUAGCAUGGAAUAAUAGAAUAGGACUUGGUUCUAUUUUGUUGGUUUGUUGGGACUGAGUAAUGAUUAAGAGGGACAGUUGGGGGCAUUUGUAUUCGGUGCUAGAGGUGAAAUUCUUAGAUUACCGAAAGACAAACUGCUGCGAAAGCGUCUGCCAAGGAUGUUUUCAUUGA